GCGCUGGUGGUCUAGUGGUUAUGACACAGCCUUGCCAAGGCUGUUGCCCGGGUUCGAAUCCCGGCCAGCGCA
rnacentral:tRNA from 1 species